rnacentral:rRNA from 1 species
UACAGAGGGUGCGAACGUUGUUCGGAAUCACUGGGCAUAAAGCGCUCGUAGGCGGCACCGCAAGUGUGGGGUGAAAUCCCACGGCUUACCCGUGGAACUGCCUGGCAGACUGCGGUGCUAGAGGAUGGUAGGGGAGAGCGGAACUCUUGGUGGAGCGGUGAAAUGCGUAGAUAUCAAGAGGAACACCGGUGGCGAAGGCAAUCCCCUGGACCUGUACUGACGCUCAUGCACGAAAGCGUGGGGAGCAAACAGG